rnacentral:rRNA from 1 species
UACGAAGGGGGCUAGCGUUGCUCGGAAUUACUGGGCGUAAAGGGAGCGUAGGCGGAUAGUUUAGUCAGAGGUGAAAGCCCAGGGCUCAACCUUGGAACUGCCUUUGAUACUGGCUAUCUUGAGUAUGGGAGAGGUGAGUGGAACUCCGAGUGUAGAGGUGAAAUCGUAGAUAUUCGGAAGAACACCGUGGCGAAGGCGACUCACUGGCCCAUACUGACGCUGAGGCUCGAAAGCGUGGGGAGCAAACAGG